rnacentral:rRNA from 1 species
GACGAACGUUGGCGGCGUGCUUAACACAUGCAAGUCGAACGGAAAGGCCCUGCUUUUGUGGGGUGCUCGAGUGGCGAACGGGUGAGUAACACGUGAGUAACCUGCCCUUGACUUUGGGAUAACUUCAGGAAACUGGGGCUAAUACCGGAUAGGAGCUCCUGCUGCAUGGUGGGGGUUGGAAAGUUUCGGCGGUUGGGGAUGGACUCGCGGCUUAUCAGCUUGUUGGUGGGGUAGUGGCUUACCAAGGCUUUGACGGGUAGCCGGCCUGAGAGGGUGACCGGCCACAUUGGGACUGAGAUACGGCCCAGACUCCUACGGGAGGCAGCAGUGGGGAAUAUUGCACAAUGGGCGGAAGCCUGAUGCAGCAACGCCGCGUGCGGGAUGACGGCCUUCGGGUUGUAAACCGCUUUCGCCUGUGACGAAGCGUGAGUGACGGUAAUGGGUAAAGAAGCACCGGCUAACUACGUGCCAGCAGCCGCGGUGAUACGUAGGGUGCGAGCGUUGUCCGGAUUUAUUGGGCGUAAAGGGCUCGUAGGUGGUUGAUCGCGUCGGAAGUGUAAUCUUGGGGCUUAACCCUGAGCGUGCUUUCGAUACGGGUUGACUUGAGGAAGGUAGGGGAGAAUGGAAUUCCUGGUGGAGCGGUGGAAUGCGCAGAUAUCAGGAGGAACACCAGUGGCGAAGGCGGUUCUCUGGGCCUUUCCUGACGCUGAGGAGCGAAAGCGUGGGGAGCGAACAGGCUUAGAUACCCUGGUAGUCCACGCUGUAAACGGUGGGUACUAGGUGUGGGGUCCAUUCCACGGGUUCCGUGCCGUAGCUAACGCUUUAAGUACCCCGCCUGGGGAGUACGGCCGCAAGGCUAAAACUCAAAGGAAUUGACGGGGCCCCGCACAAGCGGCGGAGCAUGCGGAUUAAUUCGAUGCAACGCGUAGAACCUUACCUGGGUUUGACAUGGAUCGGGAGUGCUCAGAGAUGGGUGUGCCUCUUUUGGGGUCGGUUCACAGGUGGUGCAUGCCUGUCGUCAGCUCGUGUCGUGAGAUGUUGGGUUAAGUCCCGCAACGAGCGCAACCCUUGUUCACUGUUGCCAGCACGUUAUGGUGGGGACUCAGUGGAGACCGCCGGGGUCAACUCGGAGGAAGGUGGGGAUGACGUCAAGUCCUCAUGCCCCUUAUGUCCAGGGCUUCACGCAUGCUACAAUGGCUGGUACAGAGAGUGGCGAGCCUGUGAGGGCGAGCGAAUCUCGGAAAGCCGGUCUCAGUUCGGAUUGGGGUCUGCAACUCGACCUCAUGAAGUCGGAGUCGCUAGUAAUCGCAAAUCAGCAACGCUGCGGUGAAUACGUUCCCGGG